UUGGAGGGUUGGUCGACCGUUCAAAGUGCGCAGAUCGGGAUUUAGUCCUCGAGUGAUCCUAUAAGUCAGGCCUUGCAAAACCACUAAAGACUGAGAAAGUCCUCAAGCUGGGUAGAGAGUUCCCAAUAACGGACCCUUUAAUGUCUACGUCAGUCUUUCACGAAAGCAAAAAAAAAGGUUUGAGCUUUCCAGUUGGAUUUAUGGGGAUCGAGAUCGAGUAUAAGAUAGAGUGGA
rnacentral:lncRNA from 1 species